rnacentral:rRNA from 1 species
UUUUCCGCAAUGGGCGAAAGCCUGACGGAGCGACGUCGUGUGUGGGACGAAGGUCUUCGGAUCGUAAACCACUGUCAGAGGGGACGAAAUUGACUGUACCCUCAGAGGAAGCCCCGGCUAACUAUGUGCCAGCAGCCGCGGUAAUACAUAGGGGGCGAGCGUUGUCCGGAAUUACUGGGCGUAAAGCGCGCGUAGGUGGCUUGGUAAGUCAGGUGUGAAAGGCGGCAGCUCAACUGCCGUAAGUCAUCUGAGACUGCCGAGCUCGAGAUCAGGAGAGGGAAGCGGAACUACCGGUGUAGCGGUGAAAUGCGUAGAUAUCGGUAGGAACACCAGUGGCGAAGGCGGCUUCCUGGCCUGUUCUACACUGAGUCGAAG